GGACCCAUAGCUCAACUGGACAGAGCAUCGCUCUUCUAAAGCGAAUGUUGUAGGUUCGAGUCAUACUGGGUCCGCCA
rnacentral:tRNA from 1 species